GACGAACGCUGGCGGCGUGCUUAACACAUGCAAGUCGAACGCUGAAGACCUGGCUUUUGUUGGGUUGGAUGAGUGGCGAACGGGUGAGUAACACGUGAGUAACCUGCCCUCUUCUUUGGGAUAACGCCCGGAAACGGGUGCUAAUACUGGAUAUUCACUGAUCUUCGCAUGGGGGUUGGUGGAAAGGUUUGUUCUGGUGGGGGAUGGGCUCGCGGCCUAUCAGCUUGGUGGUGGGGUGAUGGCCUACCAAGGCUUUGACGGGUAGCCGGCCUGGGAGGGUGACCGGUCACAUUGGGACUGAGAUACGGCCCAGACUCCUACGGGAGGCAGCAGUGGGGAAUAUUGCACAAUGGGCGAAAGCCUGAUGCAGCGACGCCGCGUGAGGGAUGGAGGCCUUCGGGUUGUAAACCUCUUUCGCUCAUGGUCAAGCCGCAACUGUGGGUUGUGGUGAGGGUAGUGGGUAAAGAAGCGCCGGCUAACUACGUG
rnacentral:rRNA from 1 species